rnacentral:rRNA from 1 species
UGGGGAAUAUUGCACAAUGGGCGCAAGCCUGAUGCAGCCAUGCCGCGUGUGUGAAGAAGGCCUUCGGGUUGUAAAGCACUUUCAGCGGGGAGGAAGGCGUUAAGGUUAAUAACCUUGGCGAUUGACGUUACCCGCAGAAGAAGCACCGGCUAACUCCGUGCCAGCAGCCGCGGUAAUACGGAGGGUGCAAGCGUUAAUCGGAAUUACUGGGCGUAAAGCGCACGCAGGCGGUCUGUCAAGUCGGAUGUGAAAUCCCCGGGCUCAACCUGGGAACUGCAUCCGAAACUGGCAGGCUAGAGUCUUGUAGAGGGGGGUAGAAUUCCAGGUGUAGCGGUGAAAUGCGUAGAGAUCUGGAGGAAUACCGGUGGCGAAGGCGGCCCCCUGGACAAAGACUGACGCUCAGGUGCGAAAGCGUGGGGAGCAAACAGG